rnacentral:rRNA from 1 species
AGCAGCCGCGGUAAUUCCAGCUCCAAUAGCGUAUAUUAAAGUUGUUGCAGUUAAAAAGCUCGUAGUUGAAUUUCGGGAUUAGUGCGCUGGUCAUGCCUUUGGUAUGUACUGGUGUUACUGAUUUCUACCUUCUGAAGAACCGUUAUGUCAUUUAUUUGGUGUGGCGGGGAAUCAGGACUGUUACUUUGAAAAAAUUAGAGUGUUUAAAGCAGGCUCGCGCUUGAAUACAUUAGCAUGGAAUAAUGAAAUAGGACGUUUGACCCUAUUUUGUUGGUUUCUAGGAUCGACGUAAUGAUUAAUAGGGAUAGUUGGGGGCAUUAGUAUUCAAUUGUCAGAGGUGAAAUUCUUGGAUUUAUUGAAGACUAACUACUGCGAAAGCAUUUGCCAAGGAUGUUUUCAUUAAUCAAGAACGAAAGUUAGGGGAUCGAAGACGAUCAGAUACCGUCGUAGUCUUAACCAUAAACUAUGCCGACUAGGGACCGGAUGAUGUUAAUUUUAAUGACUCAUUCGGCGCCUUACG